rnacentral:tRNA from 1 species
GACAAUGUACCAAAGUGGUUACUGGGUUGCACUCGAAUCGUACGUAUAUACGUACGCGUGAUGCAAUGGGCUUUGCCCGCGUAGGUUCAAAUCCUGCCAUUGUCG